rnacentral:rRNA from 1 species
UACGAAGGGGGCUAGCGUUGCUCGGAAUCACUGGGCGUAAAGCGCACGUAGGCGGCUUAUUAAGUCGGGGGUGAAAUCCUGGAGCUCAACUCCAGAACUGCCUUCGAUACUGAUGAGCUUGAGUCCGGGAGAGGUGAGUGGAACUCCGAGUGUAGAGGUGAAAUUCGUAGAUAUUCGGAAGAACACCAGUGGCGAAGGCGGCUCACUGGCCCGGUACUGACGCUGAGGUGCGAAAGCGUGGGGAGCAAACAGG